GACGUCAUAGGCCUUUAUUUUGUUUUAAAUUCUGACAGAGACUGUAAAAUGAGUACAAGUAUUUGUUUUCAGUUGAAACUCCCAAUGUUGCUAGGUGGACUAAUACAAGGUGCAUGACAGUUUUUACAUCGUUGUUUAGUGACAUACCACUGAAAUGCUUAAAACUUAGUCAAAUAAUUUGAAUUAAUGAUAUGCUGUAAUACAGUUAGUAAUGACCAGACUCAACAAAAAAACACCCCUUUUCAAUUAAGGUUGGACUGACUGUUUUCAGUGAUAUAGAAGACGACAUCAGACAAACUAUGUCUUAAAAAGCUUUUCCAGAGGAAAGGUUGACAUUUUCCAGUAUUGAAUGGCAUCUUUCUUAGUUGAACCAUGCCACUCAGUUGUUACUUCGAUUCAAUGUGAGAUUCGACAGUCUUUUCUCAAGAAACUAAUUGAAACAUGAACUGUCCGCCUUUUGUGUUAAUCAGUGGAGUAUAGGUUUGAUUUCCAGUUGAGCUGGGAUAGCUCGCGACUGUUACAGUGCUCUAAGCAAAUACAGUGCAGUGCAGUGCAGUGCAGUGGUGACAUUGCAUCCUGGCAUUCAAAUCCAUUCAAUGAACAGCCUCCGACUAUACAUUUCUGCAGGAACACAGGUACGUAGGACCAUUCAACCUGGUUAAAGGCCUUCUCCCCAUCAAGAGGUAUAACUGCCAGACCCAUGUUAGGUAAUAUCAAUUCAUAUAUUAGAGAGAAGACUGGAAUUGGAAAAACAUGUUUUUGUUAGGAAUAAAGCCAUGCUGAUCUGAAUGGACUAAUUUGCCCACCAGGCGAGCCUGAGCCAGAGUUUUGGCAAACGUCCUGGUUUUGCUUGCAGCAUUGUAAGAAGCAGAAAGGCGUGUCUUGAUGACUGACACUUCUUCACCAGCUGUGGGUUUGUUGCAAAUUGGACAUAAUGGUGUAUAUUUGGGUAGGAGGUGGGAUUGGGGGGAAAUGAUAAUAACGGAGUAGUGAUUUGGGUUUGUUUGUCCUGUGUUUGUCCUGUACAUACGCACUUCCAAUUAACAAUUUGAAUGUAAAAAAAAAAUUACGGAUUACUUUUUCCUCAGUAGAAUAUCAGCUAAAAUCAUGUUCCAUUGUCCAAUGGAAUUUAAAACAUCUACAGCAACAUUGUGUUGACCAAUCAAAUUGCAGAGGUUAUCACCCUUAGAAAGACUUAGUAGGGUAAUGACAUAAGAAAAGUCCUGGUUGUAUAUAAUAAAUACAAUUUAAAAAAUGAAUUGCAGGACCCCCAAAGGACAGUGGUUGUAAAGAACAAAAAGUACAGGGGAGAAUUUUCAGAAUUCAACGUUUUCUGGUGACGAAUGUUGAUGACUCAAUGAUGACUCACAAAUCCUGCUAACACUGAUCACUACACAACAUGAGGUCAGGUGUGAACAUGUCUAAUAUGCUCAGCUAUGCUGCAGUAGGCGUCAUCAAAGCAAUUGUGGUGACAAGAACAGCACAUACAACUUCAGCUAACAUUCUAGUAAAACGUUAGAUUUAUUUAAAUUCAAAAUAAAAGUAUUCACACAAACACAUCGAUUAAAUAGGCAAUGAUAGUUCUUCGCCCCUCAUGAAACUGUUACAAUCAUAAGAAAGAGAUCACGCAUUCUAAAAAGCAUAUUAUUGAUCUGUGUAUUUGGGAACUGCACCUUGCUUGUAACUGGGUCGUUGAAGAGGGGCAACAUGCCAGACCAGCUCAAUGUCACCAGUUUCCCCUUCAGCGGAAUAAAUGUUAAUCAUAGAAAAUAAUGGUAAAAAGCACACAUGUACAGAAAGUACUGAAAAAGACUCCAGUGCCUGUAUUUAGAAGUAGCUGUAUGCUGUAGGUUUGCUGCCUAGGGGAACACCAACCAAAUGCAAAAGUGCUACAUACAAAACAAUCUUCUGGGUGACACCAAUAAAGAAUGAGAGAGCGAGCGCAACACCUUCUGCACACUGAACUGUAACCUUUGCCCCCAGCAGGGCUACAUCCGUACAACUGGAGGUAGAAGUCUAUUCCUGAGAAGUAGAAGACCAACGCUUCAUUUAUACUCCGAAUUUCCAAGUCAAGUACAAAACAAAACAGUUAACAAGGCCAAUAUGUCGGUAACCAAGGCUGGUGGGUCAACCGAGUACCUCCUGAAAUCAUGACUGAUCCUAUUAUUAGUAUUAUAGUCAUUAAUGUUAUCCUUAUCAGGAUGAUCAUUUCAUCGCGCUAUAAGUACAAUCAGUUGAAAAGAAAGUCUUUCUGGCUGAAAAGACGUUGCUUAGCGUGCAGCUCAAAAUGUAGUCUCUAUGUUGCCAUGUUAUUAUUUGCGAAGAAAAAAAAAACUUCCAUAUGAAAACAAAGUAAGCAGUUUUCUAAAGCCAUCCAAAGCCUUUAUAGAAGCAUUGUAGCUAGGUAACCGCCAAAAUAAAGGAAACACUUGAGUUAAUGAGGGAUACAAAAGGAUGUUGAACACAGAGGCUGGUGCCUCCAGACAGAUGUGGAAUUAGGAUCCCAUCAUGCUACUGGCUAAUGUAAAAAUGCUAAGCGGGCAUUGCCCAUUAUUUUCGCUACCAUGCAACAGAACAGAUCUCAGGGACACUGAAAAAAGGGUGAUUGUUGGGAACAUUUGGCUGAAGCUUCAAUGGCAAAGACUGGUUAAUGUACCAAUGUUUCAAGAUCCAAUAUGAACACUUGGUUUUGGAAAUUAUGAAGCGAAACCUGGGACAGCAUUUUCCACCACCAUUGACAACACCCUGACCCAACAAUGGAAUUUCCUGAAGAAGAAUGGUGUUGUAUCCCUCGUAUCUUGGACCUGGUCUGUCCACACACCAACACCGCAUUAAAACACUUUAUGACAGAGUUUCCUUUCUUUUGGCAGUAAACACUAGUUCUAUAUACAGGUAAAUCACAGAAUAUGUUUCAAAGCAUAAGAUAUCUGGUCAUCGUAGUAGACAUUUCCUUUCAUCAUAACACAGCAUUUUACAUCAUCACGUUUUGGUUGUUUCUGCAAAAUACAAUCUACCAAACAAAUAGCUACAAUCUACCAAGCAGAUAACGAAAGCAAGUGUAAAUUCUCACAUCAUGUCUUAAGGAUUUUCUUUUUUUAAAUGGGGUUAAAAAUCUCUCUGAAUGCCAUGGAAGUAAUUUAAAACCAAAGGUUGCCUCUUUCCUGAUACAUACCUUUUGUUGAGAUAAAGAUAUUACAGAAUUAUAGAGAUGUACACCGUGGCCCUUGUUAUUAAAUAUAGACUGUGGAAAAGCAAGCAAUUAAACAAUGCUGUAAGAAAACACAAAUCCAGUAGAGGGCAGCAUCAUCGAGAUAUGAUGUCAGUAUUCCUGACAUGGUGCCCUGGGACUCUCUACAUUACAUUUUGUCAAAACCAUUAAAAAUGAUUAUCAUUAGCUAUGGUGAGUAAAAUAUGAAAGGUGUGAUACGAUUGUCUGCAAUAAUCUAUCCUUCCAACAUGUCUGGAUUAUUUACCAAAGACCUUCCUGCUGCAAUUGCUAUUAUAUCUGCUAAUGCACACAGUAUAACCCUUUGUCUUGAAACUCUCUGCAAUAUAUUAUACAUUUGAGAAUAACAGUAAUGUACUUCAUUAUGUUCUUUUUAAUAGUCUUAAAGAUAUUUAGUCACAAUAUAUUGUUUGAGUUAGCGGGGCUCAGUUGAACUCAAAUGGAUUUACAGGAGAAAAGACCAUGAAGUACAGUAUAUAAUGUUGUAACAUCUGAUUGUCACUACAAUGAAGUCAAAGUUAAUCUUCCCUGAGGAUUAAGAAUGCAGAAAGGACAGAGUUCUUACAUGAGGAAUAUAUCGGGUUUCUUGAAAAUGGAGAGUGCCGAGUUACCUCAGCAGUUAAAAUGUUAAUAUCUUGGAGAGCUGCAAACCCAUGGAUAUCUGAUAAAAAUAGAUCUACUUUUAAAUGAGCAGAUGCUCGGAUGUUUCCUUGGGGACAAGGAGGUCAAAAGGUCUAUUCAAAGGUCAGUGCUGACCCAAAGACAGGAAUUGAUUGGAUAUUUCCACCCCCAUCCUUUCAUUCACAACACAUCUCUAUGUUAUUGUCAUCCAUUUAUUGCGAUUAUAAUUGGCUAUCACAUUUGCCAUUCUGUGAGACAGCUUUCCCCCCUGGGUCUAUCUGGCAAGGCCAGACUCCUUGAUAUGUUCCAGGACAAAUCGUAUGAUACCACUCUUACAGUUGUGUCAAUGCGGUAGCAUGAUUAGUAUGCAUUUGUCCGUGUUACCUCCAGCCUCACUGGUACUCCCAAGCCAAGAGGAUUUUUUUUUUUUUUUACUGUUGGUAACAAAUGAUGCUCAAUUCACAUGCAUGAAAAAUACAGCAGUGGGGAAAACGGGUUCUUUGUCUUGGACAAAAUUAGAUUAAAUUGAUUUGCCAUUAGAUUGACAGCGCUUAAUGAGAGCACAAAAAUGUCCAGCUGUUGAAGGGAAGUGGCUUUGUUUGAUUUCUUGCAUAAAUUACAAGUGUCUAGUCCAAGCCAUCCUGCAAAACUGCCUAAAAAAGUUAACUUACUAAAAAAAUGUCAUGACAGACAGUAUAUGCAGAGCAGGGUGCUUUUCCCAUACUGUUUAGGGUUAUGUAAAAUUCUGGCCAGGUCAAGACGUUGUGUCAUGUCACCAAAUACCAAUUGAACUGAACACAACGUAUGGAAUAUUCUGUAGCACUGCUUGAGAGAGCAUUUUCCACCACCAUCAAAAACAAUACACCAAAUUAUGGAAUUUGCUAUGAAACAAUGAUUUUGUGUCGCGUCAACAGUUCCGGACACUUGUCAAUUCUAUGCCAGGAUUCAAUCUGGUGGCUUGUCCUCCUAUUAAGACACUUUACUUUGUUUUCUAGAGAAUAAAACCACAGUUUUUCAAUUUUCAAGCAUAUGUUUUGGUAAAAACCGAUGCAGAUAGCAUAUUUACAAAUGAAAAGGAGAUUGGGCACCUUGAGGAGACUAUGCACACAAGAUGCAUUUCCGUAAGAGAUACACAAUGUUAAAAAUAACCCUAAAAAAUGUCAUACAUGAAAAAGUACUAAAC
ensembl:lncRNA